CUGUAGCUCAGUCGGUAGAGCAAGGGACUGAAAAUCCCUGUGUCGAUGGUUCGAUUCCGUCCGGG
rnacentral:tRNA from 1 species